GCUUGGCAUGGUGGCAUGUUCCUGUAGUCCCAGCUACUCAGUAGGCUGAGGAAGGAGGAUCACUUGAGUUCAGGAGUUCUGGGUUGUAGUGCACUAUGCCAAUUGGGCAUCCACACUAAGUUCAGCUUCAAUAUGGUGACUUCGUGGGAGAAGAGGACCAUCAGGUUGCCUAAGGAGGGAUGAACUGACCCAGGUCAGAAACAGAGCAGGUCAAAACUCCCAUUCUGAUUAGUAGUGGGAUCAUGCCUGUGAAUAGCCACUGCACUCCAACUUGGGAAACAUAGUGAGACCUGGUUUUCUU
ensembl:misc_RNA Metazoa_SRP Metazoan signal recognition particle RNA